AUCUUAAUUCAACUUACUUUUUCUUCCUAAUUCUCUCUACAUUUUUAUCACCUCACGUAUCAUAUGUGGAGACAUUAUGUAUGCCUAUAUAAAGAACUCUAAAACCAACAAAGUUGCACAUCUCAGAAACAAUAACCAUAACACUUGUUACAAUGAGUUCCAACAAUUCCAAACAAACCUAUCAACUUCCCACAGAGGUGGUAGCAAAGCCCGAUGAUGCUUACCUCUCUGCUUUGUCACUGUGUUUUAGUAGAAUCUUCCCUGCAAUCUUAAAUGCUGCUAUUGAUCUCAAUUUGUUUGAGAUCAUAGCGGAGGCGCAGAGUACUUCAUGCGGAGCAAGCUUGUCUGCCUCUGAGAUUGCUUCUCUGCUUCCAAAUCAACACUCUGAAUUGGCAAACAGGCUUGACCGCAUUUUACCUGUGCUGGCCAGUUAUUCUCUUCUUACUUGCUCCAUUCGCACCGAUGAAGAGGGUAAGAGAGAAAGAGUUUAUGCUCUCUCACCCGUUGGUGAUUACUUUGUUUGUGAUAGCAGAGGAGGCUUUUUAGUUCACUAUCAAUUAUAAUUCAUCGAGGAUUUCAAGAUGUUUGGAAUGAUAUAAAGGAUGCAAUUGUGGAUCCUAGUGACAACAAUCAUUUCCAAAAAGUCUAUGGAAUGUCAACUUAUCAAUAUAUGGAGACAAAUGAAGAGCUUAACAACAUUUUCAUCAAAGCAAUAGCCCAAAUCAGCUCAUUGGAAAUGACAAGGAUACUUAAACUUUAUCAAGGUUUCAAAGGAGUAUCAACAGUUGUUGAUGUAGCAGGUGGUGUUGGGCAGGUCUUAAAACAGAUCAUCUCUGAGCAUCCUUCUAUAAAAGGAAUUAAUUUAGAUUUGCCACAAGUGAUUCAACACGCCCAACCUCAUCCAGGGAUAAAACAUGUUGGAGGAGAUAUGUUUGAAAGUGUUCCAGAAGGGGACGCCAUUUUAUUGAAGCAAGUAUGUCACAAUUGGUCAGAUGAAGAAUGCAUAAAGUUGUUAAGAAAUUGCCACAAAGCUUUGCCAGAAGAAGGAAAGGUGAUUAUUAUAGAAUAUAUAAUUCCAGAAGUCCCAGAUUCAAGCUUAAUAUCCAAGAAUACAUGUAUUGCCGACAAUUUCAUGUUUGCAGUAACUAGUGGAAAGGAAAGAACCGAGAAGGAAUUCGUCAAAUUAUGCACGAAUUCUGGAUUUUCCAGAUUUCAUGUUGCUUGCCGUGAUUUGUCGGUUACGUCAAGAGUUAUGGAGUUUUAUAAAUAGAAAAUAAGUCCUCAGUAUUUGGAAUCUGAAUAUGUUGCUAGAUGAGUUGAAAAAUACUCUAGACGACAAAAUAAAGUAGCAAAGCAUAAAGAGACAGUGUCUAGUCUAUGUAUGAAGUAUCUGUUUUUAUUUAAUUUGUUUCACAUAUUUUCCUUUAUUUUAGGCUUAAUACAUCAGAAGGCCCCUGUAAUUGUAAAGGGAAUCAAAUCCAGGGCCUAGAAAAUUUUUGCAUCAAAUUGGGUCCCUAGAAAAUUUUUUUUAAUUCAAUUAAGGCCAAAGUGUGCCAGCUCUCAA